GUCGGCCUGCAGCGUGGACGCCGAUCUCUGGGUCAGAGGGCAUGGGGCUAAGGUUCCAAGAUUCCUGGCCCCGGCCUUGAUAAAUGCCCUUUAGCACAUCUUUAUGGUGAGAACAGACAGACCUGGAUGGUGCAGAUGAGCGGAGGUCCAGGUGGCCAAGGGACUUCACGCUGAGGAUGGAGCCCUGGGGCGGAUUCUCGUUUCUCCUCUUGGCUGCCUGGGGCUCUCCCAACCCUUCACGCUCUCAAUCUUGUAAAAGUAACUCUCAUGACCUUCGGGUGGCUCAUCAAUGUGAUUCCAUUUAGAAGCGAUUAUAUAAAGUGAUAUCUAAAUGUCAAAUAAUAAUGGUAGCUUAACCAUCUGCUUUAACUGAUCACGUACCCUGACAUUUUAGGACUUUCUCAUCGUGCUCUGCUUGGAUAUUUAAAAUGUUCUUCCCUGAAUCAUCCUAAAGCUUCUAAAAAUUCCACCGGUGAAUUAUCACAUGAAAACUUCAUGGAAUCCCUGAGCUCCAAGGUCCUGAUAUUAGGGACAGCGAGGACCAGUGGGAAGAUGGCUGGCUUCGGAGCAAGACACACUGGAGUCAGCAUGUCAGCUCUGUGGCUCCCAGCCCUGUCGUCUCUGGUGAAUUGCUAAAGCCUCACUGGGCCUCAGUUCCUUGCUGUAGUAGGGGAGAAUAAUAUUCGCUGUAUGGUUUUUCUGUGAGGAUUAAAAGAGAUAGCAAAUGUAA